GAACGGGUGAGUAACACGUGGGUAACCUGCCCUCGAGUGGGGAAUAAGCUCCCGAAAGGGGGUCUAAUACCGCAUAACGUUUCAUGGCGAUGGUCAUGAAACCAAAGCCCAAAAGGCGCUCGAGGAGGGGCCUGCGGCCUAUCAGCUAGUUGGUAGGGUAAUGGCCUACCAAGGCUACGACGGGUAGCCGGCCUGAGAGGGUGUCCGGCCACACUGGGACUGAGACACGGCCCAGACUCCUACGGGAGGCAGCAGUGGGGAAUUUUGCGCAAUGGGGGAAACCCUGACGCAGCGACGCCGCGUGGAGGAUGAAGGCCUUCGGGUUGUAAACUCCUGUCAGAGGGGACGAAAUCCCGCAAGGGACUGACGGUACCCUCAGAGGAAGCCCCGGCUAACUACGUGCCA
rnacentral:rRNA from 1 species